rnacentral:rRNA from 1 species
CGGACGGGUGAGUAAUGUCUGGGAAAACUGCCUGAUGGAGGGGGAUAACUACUGGAAACGGUAGCUAAUACCGCAUAACGUCGCAAGACCAAAGAGGGGGACCUUCGGGGCCUCUUGCCAUCGGAUGUGCCCAGAUGGGAUUAGCUAGUAGGUGGGGUAACGGCUCACCUAGGCGACGAUCCCUAGCUGGUCUGAGAGGAUGACCAGCCACACUGGAACUGAGACACGGUCCAG